rnacentral:rRNA from 1 species
CAGCGGGGUCCUCCAACUCAAAGUGAAUGGGUGUAUGUUCGUGAGUUCAAACAAUUCCUCCAACACUUCUAUCUCCUCACUAAUAAGGUUUCUGGCACUAAGUACGUUAUAGCCAACACCUUCUUGGAAGAUAUUGCUGAUGUACAUUUUAUGUUGGGUGAAUGGAGUGAUCAUGUGAUUUGUGGUGAUGAUGAAAUAUUUAAAUGCAUGGCUACCAAGAUGAAAACCAAGUAUGAGAAGUACUGGGGUGAUCCUGAAAAGAUGAACAAGUAUAUAUUCAUUGUUGCCAUCCUUGAUCCAAGGUAA